rnacentral:rRNA from 1 species
AUGGCCGAAUGCUUUAAUAGGGUGCUCAAAGGUGCAUGUGGAUUACCCAUGACGGCAAUAGUUCAAUACACAUUUGACAAGAUGAAUGUGUACUUUCUAAAGUGCUUGGUGGAAAUAGAUGCACAGAUAGCGGGUGAGAACAAGCGCAAGUACAAGUACAAGUUCCCACCCAAGGUUGAUGAAUGGUUGGAAUUUCAAUCACGGAAGACGGACUCACAAGAAGCUAUACUAUAUGACAAUGAAGAGUGGAAGUACGAAGUGAAAGAUCCAGGAGGAACCACAAACGAUGGCCGCUAACAUGGAGGUCGGGCUUUCAAGGUCUCGUUAACACGGUGUGAUUACUCUUGCGGGAGGCCAUUGUUGCUUCAUCUCCCAUGCUCACACUUGUAUACCGCCGGUCGCGUUAGGAAUGUGGACGUCCAUCACCCCCUCACCAUGAGGGAGUCAGAGUUCUCAAUCAUGACGGUCAAGAAAACAUGGGCUCCCCGCUUUCACCCAUACCUUGACCAAUCACAAUGGCCGGAGUACCAUGGAGUUCAACUAUGGCCAGAUCCGGAGUUGAAGAUUGUUACACGGGGUAGACGUAAGACAAAGCGUCUUAGAGGCGACAUGGAUAGAUGGGGCCAUGCUGGCAGACGCGAAUUGGGCAACGACCAAUUCCAAGAGCCUCGUGAGAGCUCCCAUUGUGGGGAACGCAAAGGUCAUGGACACAACAAAAGAAAAUGUACCAAACCAAGAAAAAGGUCCAAGAAAAAUGAUGCAAGCACAAGCCAACAAGGAGCUACACAAGGUAGCCAACCAAGUGGUAGCCAACAAGUGCCAAGCCAACCAAGUGGUAGCCAACAAGUGCCAAGGCAACCAAGUGGUAGCCAAACUUUUCGUUCAACAUAUCUCUCUGGAUAG